rnacentral:rRNA from 1 species
CAGCCGUAAACUAUGCGCGUUAGGUGUACUGGUGACCACGAGUCACCGGGGUGCCGAAGGGAAACCGUGAAACGUGCCGCCUGGGAAGUACGGUCGCAAGGCUGAAACUUAAAGGAUUGGCGGGGGAGCACCACAACGGGUGGAGCCUGCGGUUUAAUUGGACUCAACGCCGGAAAUCUCACCGGAUAGGACAGACAUAUGAUAGUCGGGCUGAAGACUCUACUUGAUGAUCUGAGAGGAGGUGCAUGGCGUCAGU